rnacentral:lncRNA from 10 species
CCUAAACUUUAUAGUCCUAGGCUAUCCCCAAGUCAAUAUACUACCUCUCCAGAAUAUUGAAGAAUCUUCAUUUACCAAAGAACAUAGCCAGUAAUUUACUGUGUAUUAAUUUACAAUAGAAAUAAUAAACUUAGUAUAAUAAACUCAGUCUUAGUUCAGAUUUGCAUGAACUGAAAGAGAAGGUCAAAUCUAUGGGAGAGAAAAGUCAAGAAGGAUAUAGGAAGAUAUACAUAAUUGCAGUUAGCUGGGGAACAAUUCAAUAGGCAUAGGGGAAAGAUUUAUGACACCAGGAUAUCAUCCUAUGGUUUCAGGCCUCAACAAACACAUGCAGAUUCCCUGGGAAAGAGUUAGAAAGAACCAGAGAGAGAAGCAGGAGGAGGUUAAGCAGGUCUGGCCCCAGAAUCUCAGAGGGAAAGUGGAAUGCUGACCAGAAAACAUGUUUGGAAGCCCAAUUGCAAGGUUUAGGUCAAAAUAAGAGGUGUCAUAGAAAGGGUUAGAGAUGAGCCCACAUAUUGGCACCUGGGACAGAGGCAGCAAGACUCUCUCUGAAUCCUUAUGUGCCCUUAGCACAAAAAAGAGCACCUCGUUGGUCUGUAGUUGUAGUAGGGGUCUCAGCUGCUCCACAUGAGAAACCUGUUGUUGGGCUGUUCUGAAUUCAAUUACCCCAGACAUGGCCCCUUUUAUUUCUGUACCUACCAGAAUUUCACCUUCUGAAUUUUUUAUCCUCUGUUUAUCUCUGUUGUGUUGAAGGAAGACCACACAAUUCAAGAACACAGUGGGGGAUUACCUACACCGUGCGCUUUCAAGGAGAAAACAGAAUUUUUUACCUUAAAGUUCCUACCAAUGAAUAUACUAGCAUCUGGGAUUUCCUACCUCUUUGGGUAUUGUUACUUUCCAAUGAUCUUUUUAUCUUUUAUCUAUCUAUUGUUCUUCCUACUUUUCUUCCUAUCAUAUCUAUCUUAACUGAAUAAUGUCUAAGAAAGAUGACCUCUUUAGCCAACAUAUAUGAUGUUUAGCUUCCACGGAAAUAAUUUAUCACAUGAGGAGAAAUGGAAGACAUGACAAUGGCAUUUUUAAAAUAGAAGAGGAGGCAGUGUGAAGGCAUGAGAAUUCAGAAUGAAGGGGGGGAAGAGAAAGAAAGAGAGAGAGAGAGAGAUUGAGAGAGAGACUGAUAUAGUAUUUGGGUUAUUCAGAGGAGUUGCAGGAAUCGUGAAAAAAUAGUGCUGUGCCUGUCCUUUUGGGCAUGACUACCAUUUAUCAAGUGACUAUUACAUUAUGCUGCAGGCACCAUGCCAACUGCUGUAUAUGUAGCAUCUCAUGGACAACUCUCUCAUGUAUGUGUGCUUUUAUCCCUUUUAAAGAUGAGCGAUUGAGGAUCCAAGAGCUUAACACAAGUUACGCAGCGAGAAGUAGAGGCAAGGCCAAGAUUCCCUGAGUGACGUCUCAUAGCUCAUUGGAUUUUUCUUCAAGGCCUUUAUCCACCCAUAUAAGUGUGGGAUAUGGGUGAAAGAACAAGUUUGCAGAAAAGAUACAGUGAAUUAUGGACCAUGAGUUCGGGAAAGAAGGGUAGGACUGCGUCGCUGGCUGCAGUAUUCUGGAGGCUGGUCUUUGGGCUGUGAUCACUCUUCAUUCUAAAGGAGAUUGUUGACUCCAGUGAGAGUGAAGAGGCCGGAUGGGGGUUGGAGAGGCAGAGCUGGUGUCCCAUCUGGCUCUGAACCAUUUUAUAGUCCAGGCAAGAGCUGAUGAAGACUAAAUGAAUCAGUGAUGUUAUUGAUGGACAGGAAGAGUAUAAGAAACAAACUCUGCAGAUGUUUUUUUUUUCAGCCAUACUCAUCACAUAAGUGGUGAGUAAAGGAGAGAAGAAGCAAAAAAUAAUUCAUUGAUUUCUAGCUCUGGUAUUGGAUAGAUGGUAUGGCCACUACCCCAUCAACAAAAAGAAUUUAAGAGGAAAUGCAGUUUUAAAGAAAAAAAAAGUUGAAUUUAUUUUAGAAUAUUUUGGAUUUUAGAUGCCAAUGGUCAUUAAAGUUGAAGUCAUUGAAUCUGAAAUGCCUAUCUUCAAGCUUUAGCUUUCUAACACAGGAAGGCAUUUAUAUAAGCCAACCCUAGGGCACAGCUAUAGCAUAUAAUUCCAAUAGAAUAUUGGGGUUCUAAAUUUUUGGUAUAAUAUACCUCAUAACAGGCUCUAGAGUAUCCAAAGCCAAGCCUCUCUGAACUCUGAAUCCACAGGGUAAGGAGGGAAGCAUCAUGCUGGCCAACACACAUGCAGUAUUUUCUUUCUCUCAUAGUCUCUGGUCUCUAAAAAUUGAAGCUCAUUUGGCUUAGAUGGCCUAGUUUAAGGUCAUUUCCUUUACCUACACCAGAGUCUAAGGUGGCACAUGCUUUAUCAGGUGUUUGUGUAGGCAGGGACUUUACCUGUGACCAGUAUAAUCAGGCUUCAUAAUGUGUCUUUACCUAUUUGCUUAGGAAUUAUGUGUGGCCCACAAAACAUGGCCCAGGAAUUAUUUUAUAUUCCUACUUUGACAUUCUCUGCAACGACUAUCAACCCUUGUCACCAGAACAACUCAAGCCGUUCUCUCUAAGACCUGAAACAUACUCUGUAAAUCAAUCCUACUCAUUCAUACACUGGGAGCUACCCAGACCCCUCUUAGUUAUAUUGGCUGUAUGCUUAUCAGAAUUUACCUGAAAGUUUCUCCAUGCAAAAUUUCUCCCCAUAGAGUUAUCCAAGACCAAAUGAUAUGGGUUCUAUAUUUCCUCUGGAGCUGGAAUCUGAGUGAAUUAUCCUUAGAUCUUCACUGUCAUUCGAGCAUCACCUCUGAAAAAAAUCUCUACGUUUCCAAGGUCGCCCCUGGAAAUGUUUUUCUAGAAGAACCAGAUAUAUGACUCUUCCACCUUUUAUCUUUUAGAAACCAGAGCAAUGCAAUAGGAAUGGUAAUUUUGAUGCCCUAACCAAAGUUUUAUCAGACUGGCAUCCAAUCAAGGAUUUAACCACUUAAAUAUUGUGCUUUGAUAAAAGUUCUACUGAGAAUUUGUGAUUAUUGGAGUUCUUUUACAGGGUACUUCAUAAGCCAUUACAUAAGACACUAAUUAUCCAAUAUUUCUACCAGCAGGUGAUCUUGUACUAAUUAAAUUAACAUUGAAAACUGCUAACAUCAUUGAUUAAGGGUCCAAAUUGUUACUGUAUAUCAGUAACAAUUAGGACAACUUCAUUUUGGGCAAAAAUCAAAUCUGCCUUUCCCUUUAUCACAGGAGAUUAAUUAUCAUCUUUUCCUAAGAAACCAGGCUCUCACCUAACAAUAAAGGCUCUUGUGAUUUGUCUACAUUUUGGCCUCUAAUUAUGAAGUUUGAGGAUGGCAGUCAUCAGGUUCAUGGAGUGGUUAAUAUCAAGAAAUCUGACUUCAGAUUUGGUUGAACAUAUUCAAAUCUCAGCCCUGCCACAUAGCAGAUAUAUACUCCUAAGCCAAGCAUGAUCUUCCAUUGGGCUCAGUUUCUUUUUCCAUUGUACAGUAAUAAAAAUAGUCCCUACCUUAAAGGGCUGUGAUGAUCCCUAACUGAGGACAGCCUUGUAAAAGAGUUAAUUAUCAGCCUGACACAUGAAAAGGGCUAAGUAAAUGGUGGUUAUUGCCAUUAUCAGUUGUGUUUCUCAUUCUCUUGUGCUAAUGAUUUAAUACACUUCCAAUAUCUCUUCCAAAAACCUUAAAGUUGGAAGGGGAUGUUGAGAAGAUCACCUUAACGAAUCUUUAACUUUACUGAGAAGCAAAAGUGCUGACUUAAUAGGAUCCAAGGGAGACUCCAGUGGCUGGUCAUUAUACCUGGCUAUUUCCCUUUUUGUAAAAGUCAUUUGAAAAACAUUGAAUAACAAAUAACCAUGAAGACUUUAUGAUCAAAGAUUCCCAGAACUACUGUGAAAAGGGGAAAAACCAUGGAAGUCCAUAUUUCCAGCCCAGCCACACUGUGGACAGUCCUCACCUUCCUUUAGAACUUUUGCUCCCAAAUACAGAGAACACCUGUGGGUGAUUUGGAGCCAUUGUUUUUGAGAAUUAUUCUCAUAACAUCAAUUUUAAAAUAUAUAUGUUUAAUCUAUCACUCUCUUUGUGCCAGCCAUCAUGCUAAACUUAUCUGCAUUAUCACAUUCUGUCUUCAUUUGAAGGAGGUAUUACCAUUACCUCCAAGGAAGUAUAAUUAUUCCCAUUCUAUAGGUUAAUAAACUGGACUCAAAGAGGGUAAUUGACUUUUCCAAGGUCACCCAGCUAGUACAUGAUCAAGGUGGAACUUGAAUCCACAUUGUUCGCAUUCCAGAACCCACAGCCUUAACUACCAUGCACACCACCUCCAUGGGUGAAGACCCUCUUCUUUCCUGUGGGCAUCCUUGGGAGACAGAACACCCAGGAGCUCCUGAGUACCAUUUUUAUUUUGGACUCUCUGAUGCCCAGGAUUUUUGGUGGCAAUUCGGCCACCUUUGGAUAAGUUUGACAUCUUCAUAAAAUUCCCAUUAGCCCUACUGCAAAACAGUGUAAAUGAGCCAUCAUCCAAAUUCCCAAAUCUAUCCCUGGCCUUCACUCCUUACAAUUUGACUGACAAGGUAGCCAGUAAUACUAUGUACCCAGAAGUUUGCAAAUUAAUGUCUUCUUCUGGCCCUCCCUCAUUCUGUCAGAGACCCUCUCUCCCAAGCCCCAAUUACCAAACUUCAUCUGAAGCCUCAUUUUCAAUUCUCUUUUCACUAGAAGUUCCAAGUGUCUCCUAACCCAGCCUUUUCAAAACUGACCUACCCUCUGUAAUCCCCAAAUCUCCCUUUUCUCUCCACUCUGCCUCAAACCCUUCGCAGGGCCCACCUUCCUCAGAUCCUCUUUUUCAGUACCCACAUUCUACACUUGCAUUGCAGCUCAGCCUCUCCUUCUGUGCCUCCCCGUCCACCCCCUUACACGCUCAGGCCCUAUAACUAAGCACUCCAUCUAAUGGACCUUCUUACUUAGCCUCAAUGUUUGCUUUCCGAUACAUUGGAUUUAUAGAGUGUUUGCCUGAAUUAAAAUGCGAAAUUUUAGAGCAAACCAGGCUUCUCAGCUGCUAAGCUCCAUCAUGUACUUUAAAUAAGGAGGAGGGGGAGUGUGUGUGGAGGGGUGCCUGAUGCAUUGACCUACCCCUGAAUUACCAUCUCGACCCAGGCUGCUCACCUUCCAACCCAGCUGGUGCCUACCUGGCCCUACUCACCUCCCCCAGCUAAAUUAACAAAGCAGUUACUGCUCAUCCGCAGAGCUCCCUCUAAUCAACUCCCAGUGAAAUAAUAUUUGCUUUCCAUGCCUACUUUGAAUCCCACUCACUUUGUUAAAAGAUUGCCUCUGGCUGUCUCUGCUGGCCUAAUCUAAUAGUUUCUAGUUUGUACAAGCAAAGCGUUUUCAGCCACCUAUAUAAAUAACUUAAGCAGGAGAGGACACUUGUACAGCCCCAGUGCAGGGCUAUAGGACAUGACAGAUCCCACAAUGACUCCUUGGCCAAUCUCCUGGGGGAGCACCACCCGCUGAGUGGGAGCAAUUACUGUACUCCAUGAGGCUGACAGGACAGUCUGUCUGUCUAUAGAAAGUCUGAUGGGGGAAAACUAUUCCCGUCUGUUUUCUCCAGUGCAGGUGACCAUCCUAAGUGCCUCGGCCCCCUCUAUACCCCUCCAUACUGCCUGAUCCAUGGUCUCAGAGGGAGCCUGUUCAAAGUAGAAAAAGCGGAGAGGAACUAAAUCAAUCUAUUAGUUUUCCUCUAAAAAUUGUAAUGCAAUCAACUUUGCUUUUAAAAAAUUGUGGUAAAAUAUACAUAAAAGAUUACCAUAAAAGCUUACCAUCUUAGCCCUUUUUAAGUGCACAAUUCAGUAAUGUUAAGUAUAUUCAUAAUGUUGUUCAGUCUCGCUCCAGAACAUUUUUCCUCUUGCAAAACUGAAACUUUGUACCUGUUAAAAUGACAGUUUCCCAUUUUCCUCUCCCCCCAGCCCCUGAGAACCCCCAUUUCACUUUCUGUCUCUAUAAAUUUAACUAUUCUAUGACUGCAUAGAAUAAGUCACACAGUCUUUGUCAUUCUGUGACUGGCUAAUUUCACUUAGCAUAAUGUCCUCCAGGGUCAUCCAUUUUGUCACAAAUGGGGGAUUUCCUUUCAUUUUUCAGUUGAAUAAUAUGCCACUGCAUGUGUAGACCAAUUUGAGCUUCUCAUUCAUCUGUUGAUGGACACAUGAGUUGCUUCUACCUUUUAGCUAUUGUGAGUAAUGCUGCUAUGAACAUGUGAACAUGGCUGAACACAUACAUCUUUGAGACUCUGUUUUCAAAUCUUUUGGAUAUAUACCCAGAAUUGAAAUUUCUGAAUCAUAUGGUAAUUCUAUUUUUAAUUGUUUGAGGAACCACUGUAUGGUUUUUCCAUAGCAGCUGCACAAUUUUACAUUCCUACCAACAGUGCAAAUGGGUUCCAGUUUCUCCACAUUUUCUCCAACAUUUGUUAUUCUCCUCCUCCUCCUCCCUCCUCCUCCUCCUCCUGCUCCUCCUCCUCCUCCUCCUCCUCCUCUGCUGACUGAUCAGGGUGAUGGUUGCUGAAGGUUGGAGUGAGUGUGGCAAUUCCUGAAAACAAUGAAAUUUGCUACAUGAAUUGACUCUUCCUUUCAUGGAAGAUUUCUUGGUAACAUGUGACACUGUUUGGUAACAUUUUACUCACAGUACAACUUCUUUUAAAAGUGAAGUCAUUUCUCUCAAACCCUGCUGCUGCUUUAUCAACUAAGUUUAUGUAAUAUUCUAAAUCUUUUUUUGUCAUUUCAGCAAUGUUCACAGCAUCUAUGCCAGAAGUAGUUUCCAUCUCAAGAAAUCACUUUAUUUGUUCAUCCAUAAGAAGCAACUUACACAUUCAAGUUUUAUCGUGCUAUUACAGCAAUUCAAGUCACAUCAGCAUGCUUAUAUUCUAGUUAUCUUGCUCUUUCUACUACAUCUGCAGUUACUUUCCCCUAUUGAAGCCUUGAACCUCUCAAAGUCAUUUAUGAAAGUUAGGAUGAACUUCUUCCAAACUUCCAUUAAUGUUGAUGUUUUGACCUCCACCAUGAAUCAGGAAUGGAGAUCUAGCAUAGUGAAUCCUCUCCAGAAGAUUUUCAAAUUACUUUGCCCAGAUCUAUCAGAGAAAUCACUAUCUGUGUCAACUACAGCUUUGCAAAAUGUAUUUCUUAAACAAUAAGACUUCAAAGUCAAAAUUACUCCUUGGUCUGUGUGCUGAAGAAUGAAGGCAUGAAAACAACAUUAGCCUUGUGCAUCUCCAUCAAAGCUCUUGGGUGACUAAGUACAUUGUCAAUGAGCAGUGAGAUUUUAAAAGGCAUCUUUCUUUUUUCUGAACAGUAGGUCUCAAGAGUGGGCUUAAAAUAUUCAGUAAAUCAUGCUGUAAAUAGCUGUGCUGUCAUCCAGGCUUUGUUUUUCCAUUAUAGAACACAAGCAGAAUAGAUUUAACAUAAUUCUGAAGUCCUCUAGCAUUUUCAGAAUGGUAAUGGGCAUGUGGCUUCAACUUAAAGUCACCAGCUCCAUUAGCCUCUUAUAGGAAAGUCAGCCGUCCUCUGAAGCAUUGAAGCCAGGCAUUGACUUCUCCUCUCUGCUAAUGAAAGUCCUAGAUGGCACUUUGUUCUGAUGUAUUUUAUCUACAUGAAAAAUCUGUUUUUUAAUGCAGCCACCUUCAUCAAUUAUAUUUCCUAGAUUUUCUGAAUCACUUGAUGUAGCUUCUACAUCAGCUCUUGCUGCUUUGCCUUGCACUUUCAUGUUGUGAAGACAGUUUCUUUCCUUAAACAUCAUGAACCACCUCUGCUAGCUUCAGUCUUUUCUUCUGAAGCUUCCUCCUCUCUCUUAGUCUUCCUAGAAUUGAAGAGAGUUAGAGCCUUGCUCUGGAUUAGGCUUUGGCUUAAGGAAAGGUUGUAGCUGGUUUGAUCUUCUAUCCAGCCCACCACAACUUUCUUCAUUUCAGCAAUAAGCCUGUUUUGCUUUCUUAUCAUUUCUGUGUUCAUCGGAGUAGGACUUCUAAUUUCCUUCAGGAAUUUUUCCUUUGCAUUCACAACUUGGCUAACCAUUUGGCGAAGAGGCCUAGCAUUUAGCCUAAUUCAGCUUUGGACAGGACUUCUGCACUUAACAGUUAAAUCAUUUCUAGCUUUUGAUUUAAAAUGAGAGAUCCUUCCUUUCACUUGAACACUUAGAGGCCAUUUAGGGCUAUCAAUUGACCUAAUUUCAAUAUUAUUAUGCCUCAAGGAAUAGGAAGGCCUAAAGAAAGGAGAGAGAGAGAGAGAGAGAGAGAGAGAGAGAUGGGGCAAUGGUCAGUUAGUGGAGCAGUCAGAAUACACACAACAUUGGUCAUUAAGUUCAUAUGGGUGUAGUUUUGUGCCCCCAAACAGUUACAAUAGUAACAUCAAAGAUGUCUGAUCACGGAUCACCAUAACAGAUAUAAUAAUAAUGAAAAAGUUUGAAAUAUUGGAAGAAUUACCAAAAUGUGACACAGAGACACAAAAUGAGUAUAUGCUGUGUAAAAAUGGCUCUGGUAUGUUUGCUCAAUGUAGGGUUGCUACAAAACUUCAAUUUGUAAUGUAAUAACAUGAAGCACAAUAAAAUGAGGUAUGCCUGUAAUAAUAAUUGUAAUAAUAUAUUCCAGGAACUGUUCCAAGGAUUUUGCAUACCAACUUACUUUCAACAAAGUGGUGUUGGUUGCGUUUAUUUAAACAGCACUGAAAACCACUUAAAAUUGGAUAUUAGAUAGUUGGGUCACAUUUUCAAGAACUUUGCUUCAUGCCUGGCAAUUUUUCCUAGGUCUCUUCUUUUCUCUUAUAUUUUCCCCUCUCCAUUCACCUGUCUCAGAGAUUCCCAAAGUGCUGUUCACUUUUCAUUGAGGGACUCUUAACCCUUUUUCAUAUAUCACAGUCUUUUUUCAGCAUCUUGCCUGAGGUCUUACCUUCCACAUCUAAACCAAGAUAUCAAAUAAUCUGUCCUGGAUCUCCCAAUGUCCCCCUCCAUAGGGAAACUCAGAGCCAGUGGGAUGAUGACAAAUAUUUCACUCUCCUUUUUAUAUAUAAAAGCAAGGCAUUAGGAGGCACAUUUUCCAGGGUAUACAACAUGGAGUACAGGGUAAAAGUAGGGCCACAGGAUUCCUGUGCUAAAAAUGAGAAAGAAAACACUCAGCUUCUGAGAAAUGGAGAGGGGUUAGGGAGAAGGAGAAGAAUGCAGCAGGUAUUGACUGCUCACAGUGUGCUCCGGGCUGUGCUGUACUUUAUAUGAUAAUUUUGCCUUCACAAAAACUCAACAAAGUUGGUACUAUUAUCCAAAUAGCAGAGCUGAGUAAAAUGAAGGUUACAGGAAUUAAGCAACUUCCCCAAAGUCACACAUUUUGCUAACAACAGACAACAGAUUUUAAACGUCUGCUCUUUCCACUACAUCACGCUAUUAUACUUUGUCUAGAUACAUAUGAAAGAAAAGAUUGUUUAAACGCUCAAUGAGUUGACCUUAAUUUGCUGUGGCUAUCAUUGUGACCUUUCAGUGGCAAACGCCAAGAUCUCUUAUUCUCUGUGUCUGACUCAUAUUUCCACGCACCCUCAUCCUCAUAGGAGCACGUGCAACAACUCUCCAAUAGGACUUAAUAGAAACAAUUUUCAACAACGUUUUUACUAAUUUCCCUUUUAAAAAUCAAUAAAUGGUUAGUGAUGCCAUUAAUAGAGUGAAAGCAGAUUUCUCUCUAUUAUGAGAGUUCAUAUUUGUAGCAUUUAUCACACACACACACACACACACACACACACACACACACACCAGAAACAAUAAAAAUAAAGACAAAGAAACCACUGAGUUUAUGAGACCCUAAAUACUUGGAUUGAAAUUUUUGCAGCCCAAAGAGAGGGUAAUGCAAUAAAGAGUUCUGUCUCAGGGGUCAGAAAGUCAUGAGUUCAAAUUCCAGUGGCAAGUCUUCCCACCUUAAAGGAUUGUAUUGAAGAUUAAUGUGCCAGGGCAUUAACAGCACUUAGCCCACGGUAGACAGGAGAUGCUGUAUCGGGGCUAGUCACAGAUGCAGUUGAACUGGUCUCCUUCUGUGACACUUCCUUUUUGGAGGCCCAGGAUGUCUCUCCCCUUCUAUGCACUUCAAUUCCAUUCCUGACCUAAGUUAUCCCACUGCUACCCUCUGCCUGGUCAGCAGCCAGCCUCUGGCCCUCAUCCUUCCUCCUCCGGUUUGUGACUCACUAGGUGACUUCCGGAAAAUCAGUUCCAUUCUCUCAAGUUUAAUAUUCCUCUCCUUUCAUAUUUAUUAUACCAUUGUCAGAUGCGGCCCAGAAGUGAUUUUUAAAUGCCUAAAACUAGCUUCUGAUCUUUCUGAAACAACCCCUGAUUGAAUAUGAGCGACGUUUUUUCUUUCUUUCUUUCUUUCUUUUGAGAUGAAAUCUCACUCUGUCACCCAGGCUGGAGUGCAGUGAUGGAAUCUUGGCUCACUGUAAACUCUGCAUCCUGGGUUCAAGCGAU